rnacentral:rRNA from 1 species
AGAGUUUGAUCCUGGCUCAGAACGUACGCUGGCGGCACGCCUAACACAUGCAAGUCGAACGAAGUAGCAAUACUUAGUGGCAGACGGGUGAGUAACAUGUAGGUAUCUGCCCUUUGGCCUGGAAUAACACGAGGAAACUUGUGCUAAUACCGGAUAAGUCUUUACGGAGAAAGCUUUAUGCACCAUUGGAUGAGCCUGCACUUGAUUAGUUUGUUGGUGGGGUAAUGGCCUACCAAGACUGUGAUCAAUAGCUGAUUUGAGAGGAUGAUCAGCCACAUUGGGACUGAGACACGGCCCAAACUCCUACGGGAGGCAGCAGUGGGGAAUCUUGCACAAUGGAGGAAACUCUGAUGCAGCGAUGCCGCGUGAGUGAAGAAGGCCUUUGGGUUGUAAAGCUCUUUCGUCGGGGAAGAAAAUGACUGUACCCGAAUAAGAAGGUCCGGCUAACUUCGUGCCAGCAGCCGCGGUAAUACGAAGGGACCUAGCGUAGUUCGGAAUUACUGGGCUUAAAGAGUUCGUAGGUGGUUGAAAAAGUUAAUGGUGAAAUCCCAGAGCUUAACUCUGGAACUGCCAUUAAAACUUUUCAGCUAGAGUAUGAUAGAGGAAAGCAGAAUUUCUAGUGUAGAGGUGAAAUUCGUAGAUAUUAGAAAGAAUACCAAUUGCGAAGGCAGCUUUCUGGAUCAUUACUGACACUGAGGAACGAAAGCAUGGGUAGCGAAGAGGAUUAGAUACCCUCGUAGUCCAUGCCGUAAACGAUGUGUGUUAGACGUUGGAAAUUUAUUUUCAGUGUCGCAGGGAAACCGAUAAACACACCGCCUGGGGAGUACGACCGCAAGGUUAAAACUCAAAUGAAUUGACGGGGACCCGCACAAGUAGUGGAGCAUGUGGUUUAAUUCGAAGAUACGCGCAGAACCUUACCAACACUUGACAUGUUCGUCGCGACUCUAAGAGAUUAGAGUUUUCGGUUCGGCCGGACGAAACACAGGUGCUGCAUGGCUGUCGUCAGCUCGUGUCGUGAGAUGUUGGGUUAAGUCCCGCAACGAGCGCAACCCUCACUUUUAGUUGCCAUCAUUAAGUUGGGCACUUUGAAAGAACUGCCAGUGAUAAGCUGGAGGAAGGUGGGGAUGACGUCAAGUCCUCAUGGCCCUUACGUGUUGGGCUACACACGUGCUACAAUGGUAUCUACAACAGGAAGCAAGAGUGCGAAGUUAAGCAAAUCCCUAAAAGAUACUUCAGUUUGGAUUGCACUUUGCAACUCGAGUGCAUGAAGCUGGAAUUACUAGUAAUCGUGGAUCAGCGUGCCACGGUGAAUGCGUUCCCGGGUUUUGUACACCCCGCCCGUCACCCCAUGGGAGUUGGUUUUCCCUUAAGGCAAGGUUUCAAACCCUUGACCACGGUAUAGUCAGCGACUGGGGUGAAGUCGUAACAAGGUAACC